CUGGGCGUGAGCGGUAGGAGGGGGUGGGGGUCGGGCCGCGGUGCCGGCGGUUGGUGCCGUUCCCGGCCGUUGCCCCCCUCAGCAGGGGUGGUGCGAUGCUUGUGGCGCGGCUGGCGGCGGGCUCCUGGCCCCUUCCCCGCCCUCGAUAGAAAUCAGCACCGUAGUUACGGGGACAUCUGGAACACUGUGGCUUUCUAGAACCUUCCAGAAACCCUUCCUUGCAGAACAAAGAAUUGGAAACAAUACACCAGAAAGAGACCUUAAGAAGUCAUCUGCUCACUCGUCUUCCCAACAGUACAUCACGCUGGUCUCAACAGACAUUUGACCACUUUCUCCUAAAAACCUCCAUGGGCAAAGAUGUAUCACUACCCAGAGGUAUCAUUGCAUGCAUCCUAUUUUCAUCUGAAAAAAAUGUUCACCCUUUGCAGAACUUCCAUGGAUGAAUUCCCCAUCCUGCUAAGAAAAUUAAUUUGAAUGGGAAACACCAGAAGGGAAAAGUGUUUGGAUCUGAGUUACCAAUGCACAGCUGAAAAUUCACAAAAUCUCAACAAGCAACAAUAUGAAUGGCUGAGGAAGCUAGACUGGAUGUUGAGCACUCCUGAAUUAAAUAAAAGGAGCUGUCCUUAUGGCUGAACUAUCCCUCCAGAUCACAGAAGAAAGGUCUGGAGCUUUUCUUUAGGGAGAACAAAAGAGAUGUCACAGGGAAAAGAAGAAUGGAAUGACUUGAAAGGACCACCGCAAGCUUUGAAAAGGUGUCUUGAGAUAGCAUCCUUCUAUUUUAUUCUUUUCUUUUCUUUCCACUGUGCAUUUGUGUGGUUUUCUCCUGGGAUAUAACAUCUUCCAAAUUAUAUGAGUUCUUCUGAUCCAUUUUAUGACUGCUUAUGCCUAACACAAAUCCUGUAGAAAUAAUUUCACAUUUUUCCUUCCAGUUGUACUUUUAGUAACAUUUAUAAUUAUCUGCCAAUAAUCCUAUAUUUUUCAGCAAUAUCAAUUUAAAUGUGCUGAGUUAUCUUUCCACUGUAAUUUCUCCACUGCUGUUUCUAUUGCAGCAAUUUCAUGGACUAGAGCAUUGUAGAGCUAUAAUUUGGAAUAUAUAUAAAAUUUAUUGCGAGUUCCCAUCAAGUCAUAGGCUGUAGCACUGCUUGUGGUACACACUAUUAUUUCAUUGUAUUCUUUCAUUUCUGCUUGAAAUGUGAAAGAUUCUUUUCAUUUUCCAUUUAUCCCAAUAGCUUUAUUUCUGCCAUUAUUAUUCAAAUGAUACAACUUUUAUAUACUGUAUACAAAUUCCAUUUCCUCCAAGUGAACAGGAACAAAAUUAUCUAUUAUUUCACUGGUUAUGUGCCUCUUAUUUUUUCUCUGGCAAAGCUGACAUAAAUGGAACCAUACGAAUUUGUGGAAAUUAUGAAGUCUUUCCCCAUUGCUAUUAUUCCGUUAAUAUACUAUCCGUUCUCAGAGAGAUCACUAUAAAAAUUUUAUAGCAGCUUUUAGUAAGCUACUUUCUCAGUUGUUUAGAUCAUUGUAAGCAAAUUUUUUUUCAGCUAAGUAAUUACAGCAACUGGAAAUGUUUUUUGUGUCCACACACAAUAUUAUCAGAACUAAAUGAUGUUGCCUACCAGUGUAUUUUUAAUAUUCAGCCACAGGAAAAAGAACCGAACAUUCUUACUUUCUCUAACUGAACGGUAUUACUAUUCAAAGAAGCCACUCUUCUCCCCCAGUUUUAUUGCUUUUUUAAAAAUACGAAAAAUACCAACAUUUUAUUGAACUUUGUUCAACAUUGCUUUUUCACUUCUAAUAAAUUUGACCCUUAUGAUUAGGUGAUCUAUAUUCACAUAAUCUCUUGAAAUCUCAAUUACAAUUUAAAAUUCACAACACAUGUAUUGUAGGCAUCUGACAAUUAGAAACAAUUAAAUUAAAAAAUAAUGCUUGAAGAGACCUUUAGAGGCCAUAAUUUCCAUCCCCCUACUUAAAGACUAUACCUACAUUAAUUCAACCAAAUGCUUGUCUAAUCUGUUCCUACAAGAUUUCCAAUCACAGUAUAAUUGGGCAUAUAGCCCCAAAGUCACUCCUUAACUUUAGUACCAUGUCAAUCUAUAAAUUCUGUACUUUUGUAAGAUUAGGAAGCAUAAGCAAAAGCUUUGUUUUCUUUAUGGGGAUGAUAUUUCUAUUCUUCUAUUACUUCCUAGCACUGUGGGAAAAGGAUAGACCUAUAAACUGAGCUUAAAAAGUGCAUAUAAUCGAUAGCUGCAGCUGAACUUCUGUAUUAAAAAACAGAAAGAUAGAACUGAGUAAGUUAAUACUGAAGUAGCUUGAUCUGAAAGAAAUGUGUUAAUGGCCUAAUCUAAAACCCAUUUAAAGUCAAUGGAGAAACUGCUGAAAGCCCAGUCCUAUCAAGCUUUGGAGUCUAUGGAAAUUCGAUAAAUUUAUGAGGGUAGUUUUACGUUUAGAGGUACACACGUGCAUGAUAUGGUUGUAAAGGCCUCAUUACAAAUAUACAUACAAUCAAAAACAAUCUAAAACAAUAAGUAGUGAAAGCACACAGGUAAAUAAAAACUUUUCAGUAAUCAAGGAACAAAGGAAAAGACAAGACAAAGAGCUACCCAAUGUACUUUUUACCUCUGCUAUGUAUUGCAUUAAAUAAAUAAAUGGUCCAAAUAGGGUUAACCACCAGGGAAAUUAUGAAAAAAUACUUAUGUUCAUUCACCUCUCUAAUAAUUUCAUCUACCUUUCACU